UUGGAGGAUUUGAAGACUUUAACCUGUAUACUUGGAUGAAUUUAAAGACUUCAACUUGCAUACUUAGAGGAUUUAAGGAAUUCAACU
rnacentral:pre_miRNA from 1 species